UGCAGUAUAAUUAGCCAGUGAUACUGGCUGUAGCUUCAUGUAAGUAAGUACUCAUGUGAGACUAGCAGAUGACUGCACACAUGCAGUUUCAAACCACUACUCUUGAAGGAUGCCAAAGGCACAGAUGAAUAACAGGGCAUCACAUCCACACAGCAAGAGCUGUUAAGCACAUGUAUGACUUUACGCACACGUGUGACUCCUGCUUACUCCUAGGUGCAUGCAUUGGUUGCUAUAUGCGUGCUCCUUUAGGAGAAUCAUUCCCAGAAGAUGGAAUCUAUUCCAGUUCAGGCAGGGUAGAGAUCAGGCUGUAGGGUGGCUGGGAAUGUUCCUGCUUUAGGCUCAGAUGGCAGUUGACACUUUAUCUCCUUAAAUAAAGAAAUGUUUUUCUGUAGAGAUAUGUGGAGAAUAUCUUUAUAUCGGUAGCACUCUUCUAGCCCAAAGCACUCUACAAAUAUUAUUUAUGAAUUCCUGUAGACAUGCCUAUGAAGCAGGAUUGUAUUCUUCUCUUACAGAUGUAAGAAUCAGGGAAAGCAACUGACCCAGCUCACCUAGGCAGGAAGUUUCAGACCAGAAUUAAGACCACAAGCAACAGCUGGUCUUUACUGUAGAGCACUCUUCUCUCAAAUCAUCUCAAGCUCUAACAAGACAGUAACUGGAAGAAAAAUGCCAAUGCUGCUAGCAAGGUGUCAAUACAGGGAAUUUACAGAACAGUCCAGAAUCUAGGACGACGCUUCAGAAGUAUCGCAUGAGCCCUAAGGAGUCCACAGUCCUGAUUUGCAGGAAAAGAGAUACUUAUUUAUUAUCAUCUGUUAAAUGUUUUAGUAUCAGAUUAUCUGGAAACUAAUGUUGAACAGGUAAACUGCUAUAAUCCUGUUUUUACUUCAGUUCUGUUGUGUCCUUAUAAGCACCAAUACUAACUAAGCACUCAAGCACUAACAAACAAGGUCACUGCUAUCAGUGACUGCACGUUUAUGGGAAGCUUGUCUAACCCGUGACGUUGCUAAAACAUCCUAUUUUUGUAUUUUGAAGCACUGGAUUGUAUACAUAGCCAUUACUUUCAGAAAGUUUCGCUUGUUGAAACUUCACAAGCAGACUUCACAGUGUUAUUGACUGGCAAAGUCUAGGAAGAGUCACCUAUUUGGUGUUCAUUUGUGUAUCUUAAAAAAUGAAAAACA